rnacentral:tRNA from 1 species
GGGCUCAUGGUUCAACAGGAGAACGCCGGUUCCGCACACCGGAGAUGCGAGUGCGACUCUCGCUGGGUCCA